rnacentral:rRNA from 1 species
CCUACGGGAGGCAGCAGUGAGGAAUAUUGGUCAAUGGCCGGAAGGCUGAACCAGCCAAGUCGCGUGCGGGACGACUGCCCUAUGGGUUGUAAACCUCUUUUAUAAGGGAGAAAUAAAUGCUACGUGUAGCAUGGUGCCUGUACCUUAUGAAUAAGCAUCGGCUAACUCAGUUCCAGCAGCCGCGGUAAUACGGGGGAUGCGAGGUUUAUCCGGAUUUAGUGGGUUUCAAGGGUGCGUAGGCGGUUUUUUAAGUUAGUGGUUAAACGCCGGGGCUUCAACUUGAUUGGCCAUUAAUACUGUAAGACUCGAGUUCAGACGAGGUAGGCGGAAUAAGUUAAGUAGCGGUGAAAUGCUUAGAUAUAACUUAGAACUCCGAUAGCGAAGGCAGCUUACCAGACUGCGACUGACGCUGAAGCACGAGAGCGUGGGUAGCGAACAGGAUUAGAUACCCCAGUAGUC